ACUCCUAUAGCUCAGUGGGUGAGAGUGUCCGACCGGUGUGCGGAAGGUCAUAGGUUCGACUCCUGUUGGGGGAA